rnacentral:sRNA from 1 species
UUAUAUAUCCUCUGAGAAGUUCCCAGAACCCCAAAUGUCACACAAUCACGGAAACUAUCUGCAGCUGGCAAAACCAUGCAUGAGGAAAAUCAGUCAUUUGCUAUGGUGGACAGUCUGGAGCAGCUCCAUAUCUCUCUAUACCUGGGAUUAAAACAAAAACAUAUUCUUAUAUUUCUGUUUUUAAAGAGGUCAAGAUUCCAAAAUUGUCACUACACAUUACUUUCUUCAUCUCGCCUUACCCAGGCCACCUGACAAAGUGGAUUGACACUGGACAGCAUGUAAUUGUCCUGAAGUUAAUCGAUACAGAACAAAUCCACCCCAGUCUUUCACCACUGCCCUGUUUUACAUCCUCAUCUUCAAAGACCCUUACCUUCUCCCUCCCUUCCUUCCUAGAACAACUCCCAUGAUCCACUGCUCCCACUAAGGGCGCACUUCUCAUCUUCUCUUCCAAUCCCCGAGACUGGGACUCCUUUCAUUUCAUGGCUUCCACCCCGAUCCUGCAUAUCUAGCAGGCUGCACUUGAGUUCUGAACAGCGUCCGAUGCCUUGCUCCCCCCGGGCAGUGGCUGGGUGUGAUCCCGGAGUUUUGAAGUGUCAUGAAAUGGCGCAUUGCUGGAAGCUCUGGCUCCACCUGGUGGCACUCUUGAGUCAGUGGCUGGUGAAGGGGCGGACACUCCACAGGUACAUUUAUACUUGCCUGCCUUUUAAGGAAUACCCACUCCCUGAGAGCCUGUCUGCAUGAUGUUUCUGCGUCGCCAAAGGUCUAGAGAACUUGGAAUCAGCCUACAAUGAGCUGGUGGUGCUUGUGAAACCACGAGUCAACCCCAACCUUUCCUGCUUUAGCCUAUUUCUCUUAAAAACUUGUUACAGCAUUGAAAUGCCUGUUUAGUAAGAUUUCAGUCUCUCUUCCCAUACUGACUGGGAACCCUAUUGGCAGGUGCUGGCUGUUGUUACAGGUGGGAUUAGCUAGAAGAAAACACAAACUCAAGAACCCUUGACAUGAAUCUACUGAGGGACAUUUUCAGAAUUCUAUAUCUGCGUAACAGAAUAAGAGCCUCUUUAGACUGUGCUAUUCGUUUUAGAGAUUAGGGGCAAACACCUCUGGGGUACCAUUAAAAAAAAUCACUAUGCUUUUAAUAAUAAACUAAUGUGGUAACGCUCUCUGAUACACAGAAUUUCCCGAAAAUAAGCAAGUGCUUGGGGGAUAGGGCGAACUGAUGCCCUCAGUAGCAGCUGAUGCAAUCUCCACGCUGAGUUGCCUACCUUAAGCAAAGUGACUGUUGUAUAAACGGCUUGACAGGCUACCCCUAAACCAGCACCAGUCGGACUCAACACUCCGUGAUUAGCUUGAGUCAACCACAUACAAAGACUGUAGCUGAUUGUCUUGAAUCCUUAGGACAAACGCCCACCAGGUCCACUUAGUGUUGUUUGGAUUGGAGGAUUUGCUUCUGGAACCAUUUGUGAACUCCAAAUCACUGAGCAAUGGCUCAACCCAAGCCACCUGGCUAGCUAGCGCUUCCUUUGGUCAGGCAGAGGAGCUGCUGUGAUUGGUGCUAAGGAGGAAAGGUUGGGAUUGGUCUGUUCAAAUAGUUGAAGAGGCAGGGCAAGCUAGGAUUGGUUCAAACACCUCUCCAGGGGCUGCUCUGUUGUCACUCCAGGAACUGUUCCAGGGAAGCCCUCCUGGGAACAUCUUUUCUUUUUUUUUUUUGCUUUUUUUUUUUAAUUUUCUUUCUUUUUUUUUUUUUUUUUUUUUUUUUGGAACAUCUUUUCUUUGUGUGGCCUUUUCUGGCCUACUCUCAGGAAUGUGGGCUGGCUGAGUACACGGAAGAAGCGGAAGAAGCGACAGAGGUAACAAUAGCUGAGCGCCACUGGCAGGCCAGGUUACAGAAGGGCCAUGUAAGCCUGUAGACAGCUAAAAAUGAAGAAGCUACAGAGUUUGGGAGCGUCCAAAGAAAAGGAAAGAAAAAAGCACAGGGGGCGGGGGCAGGGGGUGGUAACUAUUGAGGACAGGAAAAUGAGGCAUCUCUAGACUGGAGAAGAGUAAAAGGCUGUGAAGAGCCAAAGAAAAGAACGUGAGGGCGCUGGCUGCAUUUUCAUAUUCCAGAAAGCAUUUUCAGACCAGGGCCAAGAACUGCAACUUGAGUCCCUAAGGUCUGCAAGAGGAUUGUGACACCACCACCUCCCCAUCCCCCGCCGCCGCCCCGAGGUGCCACCUGCUGAUGCUUAUUCCUCAGAAGGUGCAGGUGGCACAGCCAUGCUGUGUUCUUAAAAGGAGUGAAGGAGCAGCUGGAGUGGUCAGCCUAAACCCAUGGUUAUGCAGAGGGAAGAAUGAAUUUAAAAGCUGCCUGAUCCUCAGGAAUGGAGCCAUGUGAACGCAGGAAACGAAGGCAUCCACCAGGCGGCGCGCAAGAAUAGCAGAGAGAAGGCAAGUCUACGGGAUCAUCCAGAACUGCGGUGGGAGGAGGCUGCCAGGGGAGCCUUGAACACAGGGUGGCGCUCUAGAAGACGUCUCUGUUGUGGCCACAUUCCCUGAAGCUACCAGAAAAUUCCACAGCACCCUUGGAAGAAGAUGCGCUUGGGAAAAGCAAACGACCAUUUUGGUACUGCUAUGAGAAAAGUGCAGUCGACUCCUAAGAUGGGCUCAAAAAAGCCACAGGGCUCCUAGAAUGUAUUUUGAAACCUCUGGUUUGAUACUGGGGGAGAAUAAACCUUCCCACCUGUG